UUUUUUUUGGACUUGGAGGGAUUAAUGCUCACUGUCAGUUAUUGAAAGGGAGCUCCUCUUAAAUAAAUUAGUGGGGUUUGCUUUGCUGAUCCUUGACGUGAUAAAACAAUUCUACGUUUUGGAUAUAGCAUUGUCCUUUAAAAACACCUGCUUCUAAUUGUCUUAUAGACAAAUGAUGGUGUUCUGGUCACUGCUUCACCUGUGUGUGUUGGUAGUAGAAAGGCUAGACCCACAAAAGAAAGCCUUGACCUCAAAUCGGGUGAGACUACCCGCUGAACUUAAGCAUAUCAAUAAGCGGAGGAAAAGAAACUAACAAGGAUUCCCCUAGUAACUGCGAGUGAAGCGGGAAAAGCUCAAAUUUAAAAUCUGGUGGUCUUUUGGCCAUCCGAGUUGUAAUUUAGAGAAGCGUUUUCCGCGCUGGACCUAUGCAUAAGUCUCCUGGAAUGGAGCGUCACAGAGGGUGAGAAUCCCGUCUUUGGCAUAGACACACCAGGGCUUUUGUGAUGCGCUCUCGAAGAGUCGAGUUGUUUGGGAAUGCAGCUCAAAAUGGGUGGUGAACUCCAUCUAAAGCUAAAUAUUGGCGAGAGACCGAUAGCGAACAAGUACCGUGAGGGAAAGAUGAAAAGCACUUUGGAAAGAGAGUGAAACAGUACGUGAAAUUGUUGAAAGGGAAACGCUUAAAGUCAGUCGCGUUGUCCAAGACUCAGCCUUGCUUUGGCUUGGUGUAUUUCUUGGCCAACGGGUCAGCAUCAAUUUUGCCCCUUGGAUAAUGUUAAGGGAAAUGUGGCACCUUUUAGGUGUGUUAUAGUCUCUUAUCACAUGUAAGGGUAAGGAUUGAGGAACUCAGCAUGCACCUUUGGGUGUCGGGACUUUUGUUCACGAUACAUGCUUAGGA
rnacentral:rRNA from 1 species